GGAGAGAUGCUGGAGUGGCCGAACAGGCACGCUUGGAAAGCGUGAGUGCCCCAAAAGGGUACCGGGGGUUCGAAUCCCUCUCUCUCCG
rnacentral:tRNA from 1 species